AGAGUUUGAUCCUGGCUCAGGAUGAACGCUAGCGGCAGGCCUAAUACAUGCAAGCCGAACGGCAAGCUUGGUAGCAAUAUCGAGCCUAGAGUGGCGUAAGGGUGCGUAACACGUAUGCAAUCUGCCCGCAACAGGAGGAUAGCUCCCCGAAAGGGGAAUUAAUACUCCAUAAGAUCACGAGAGGGCAUCUGAUGGUGAUUAAACUACAAGGGGUUGCGGAUGAGCAUGCGGUUGAUUAGCUAGUUGGCGGGGUAACGGCCCACCAAGGCGAUGAUCAAUAGGGGAACUGAGAGGUUUAUCCCCCACACUGGCACUGAGAUACGGGCCAGACUCCUACGGGAGGCAGCAGUAGGGAAUAUUGGACAAUGGGCGAGAGCCUGAUCCAGCCAUGCCGCGUGCAGGAAGAAGGCCUUCUGGGUUGUAAACUGCUUUUGCCAGGGGAUAAAAGACCCGUGCGCGGGGAAUUGAAGGUACCUGGUGAAUAAGCCACGGCUAACUACGUGCCAGCAGCCGCGGUAAUACGUAGGUGGCAAGCGUUGUCCGGAUUUAUUGGGUUUAAAGGGUGCGUAGGCGGUUCAAUAAGUCAGUGGUGAAAUACGGCAGCUCAACUGUCGAGGUGCCAUUGAUACUGUAGAACUUGAGUACAGACGAGGUAGGCGGAAUUGACGGUGUAGCGGUGAAAUGCUUAGAUAUCGUCAAGAACACCGAUAGCGAAGGCAGCUUACUAGACUGUAACUGACGCUGAGGCACGAAAGUGUGGGGAUCAAACAGGAUUAGAUACCCUAGUAGUCC
rnacentral:rRNA from 1 species